rnacentral:lncRNA from 1 species
GACUCUACAGAUAUUUCUCCCAAGAGAAAGAAUAAAGCAGCACCUCAACCCAGGCACAGCAGCAGCCAGUCACAUGCUUCACCUCGAGAUGGUACCGCAGGAAAGACAAGCCUCUGUCAUGAGUCUCUGGACAACAGCGCACACUAGCUGGCGUCAGUAAGCACCACGCGAAGCUAAACUAAGAGGCAUUCCACAGGAUAAACGACCAACCGUCCUCAAAACAUAGGAGCCGUAGAAGACCCUCCAGCCCCAACACAGCUGCCCACAAAUGAGGGGAGCCAAAGGUGGGAGUGGGAGAGAGAGAGAAGAGAGAAGUAAGCGUCACCUACUCGAGGAGAUUGAGGAGGAGGACUUGCUUAAACAAGUAAUUUAUGUUCAAUAAAAUCAUUAUGGAAAGAAUUCUUUACUGGAAAUAUAGUAAAAUACCUCAGCUUUGAAAACUUUCAAGAAUAUUUACUCAACUGAAAAGUUUAGGAUCAACCUGAUAAGCCUCAUCUCCCACACUGGAUGUUAGGAAAAAGACAACAUCAAGAAGAUCCUAGAGAGGAACAGAUAGAAAGGCCCGGCCACAGUCAGGACAGAAGAGAAACAGCUGCAAAAUGGGGUGGCAAUGGAUUCUCUCAGCUCCCAACAGGAAUGCAAGCAGAAGUUCCCUUGAGUGCACAUAGGCAUAAAGAAAUCUUAAUCCCUGGGCCUUCUGGGAGCCAUGCGAUAUAUUUCACAUUUUCAAUAUAAUUACAGUCUCACCAGUGCCAUUUAAAAAAAUUUAAGACAGCAAUAAAUAAUAAAAGGAUAUUAAGAUUAUCCUGGCAAAGUAUGAAAUAAAAUAAAAUAAACCAAAACA